rnacentral:rRNA from 1 species
CUUACUGACGCUAAAGCUCGAAGGUGCGGGUAUCGAACAGGAUUAGAUACCCUGGUAGUCCGCACGGUAAACGAUGGAUGCCCGCUGUUGGCGAUAUAAUGUCAGCGGCCAAGCGAAAGCGUUAAGCAUCCCACCUGGGGAGUACGCCGGCAACGGUGAAACUCAAAGGAAUUGACGGGGGCCCGCACAAGCGGAGGAACAUGUGGUUUAAUUCGAUGAUACGCGAGGAACCUUACCCGGGCUUGAACUGCCAGCGGACGAUACAGAGAUGUUGAGGCCCUUCGGGGCGCUGGUGGAGGUGCUGCAUGGUUGUCGUCAGCUCGUGCCGUGAGGUGUCGGCUUAAGUGCCAUAACGAGCGCAACCCCUUUCGUCAGUUGCCAUCAGGUAAUGCUGGGCACUCUGGCGACACUGCCACCGUAAGGUGUGAGGAAGGUGGGGAUGACGUCAAAUCAGCACGGCCCUUACGUCCGGGGCUACACACGUGUUACAAUGGGAGGUACAGAGAGCCGGCCGCCUGCAAAUGCGGUCCAAUCAAGAAAGCCUUCCUCAGUUCGGAUUGGGGUCUGCAACCCGACCCCAUGAAGCUGGAUUCGCUAGUA